AUUGAAAAAUUAAAUCCGCCAU
rnacentral:snRNA from 1 species